ensembl:rRNA 5S_rRNA 5S ribosomal RNA
GGUUGUUUCUGACACUGAAUACACCCAAUCUCAUCUGAUCUGCAAAGCUAAGCAGGGUUGGGCCUGGUUAGUAUUUGGAUGGGAGACUACCUGGGAAUACCAGGUGCUGUAAGCU